AUUGAACGCUGGCGGCAGGCCUAACACUUGCAAGUCGAACGGCAGCACAGAAGAGCUUGCUCUUUGGGUGGCGAGUGGCGGACGGGUGAGUAAUGUCUGGGAAACUGCCCGAUGGAGGGGGAUAACUACUGGAAACGGUAGCUAAUACCGCAUAACGUCGCAAGACCAAAGUGGGGGACCUUCGGGCCUCACACCAUCGGAUGUGCCCAGAUGGGAUUAGCUAGUAGGUGGGGUAAUGGCUCACCUAGGCGACGAUCCCUAGCUGGUCUGAAGGGAUGACCAGCCACAAUGGAAGUGAGACGCGGUCCAGAAUCGUACGGGAGGCAGCAGUGGGGAAUAUUGCACAAUGGGCGCAAGCCUGAUUCAGCCAUGCCGCGUGUAUGAAGAAGGCCUUCGGGUUGUAAAGUACUUUCGGCGGGGAGGAAGGCGGUGAGGUUAAUAACCUUGCCGAUUGACGUUACCCGCAGAAGAAGCACCGGCUAACUCCGUGCCAGCAGCCGCGGUAAAAC
rnacentral:rRNA from 1 species